rnacentral:rRNA from 1 species
UACGAAGGGUGCAAGCGUUACUCGGAAUUACUGGGCGUAAAGCGUGCGUAGGUGGUGAGUUAAGUCUGAUGUGAAAUCCCCGGGCUCAACCUGGGAAUGGCAUUGGAUACUGGCUCGCUAGAGUGCGGUAGAGGGUGGUGGAAUUCCCGGUGUAGCAGUGAAAUGCGUAGAGAUCGGGAGGAACAUCUGUGGCGAAGGCGGCCACCGGGACCUACACUGACACUGAGGCACGAAAGCGUGGGGAGCAAACAGG